ensembl:lncRNA
AUAAAGUGUAACCCAAUUCUUAGUCACUUCUUAAUUAUAUGUAAAUAACAAAGAUACAACAUUGUCUUGGUAAAACUAACAUAAUUCAUCAGAAAUAGUAGAUCAGAGUCUGUUACCCGGCAGAUUGCCCUAAAUUUCAAACUGGAAUAUUAAAAUGUCAAAAUUAGUAUGUUUAUCUGUGUUGAGGGAAAGGCUGGGAGUGAACUAUCGAUCUGUGUUCAGCAAAAUCAAAGGAUUAACUGUACAAAAGAUACAUACACACUCAUGAUUUCACCUGAGCUCAGCAGAGGCCCAUGGCAGGACAGUGCAGAGGCACAGCUGACGGGGCUCUUUGCUUGUUCCUGGUGCUCUUUCCCGAAGGGGGCCCGUACAUGGAGUCAUUCAGUGGCUGGCACCAUAAAUGAGGGCCACGCCAGUGGCUCAGCACUGCUUAUUCUAGAAGGACACAAGGACUUUGGAGCACAGCCAAAAUGCCUGGAACAAAAGGUAACAAGUCGGACAAGAAAUCAACCACCAAGCAACCUCAGAAUCCCAAGGAGCAGCCGAAGAAAGGUGAUCAGAAAGGAGAUGAUGCCAAAAAGCAAGGAGGUAAAUACUGACAACAGCACAGAAGACACAAGUGAAAAAAAGGCAUUUCAGAUGCGUGAAAUACAAGCAAAAAUGACACUGCACAUAUCUGAAAUGUAAAAUGCUUUUUAUGGCUUUUGACUCACAAAUAAAGAUUUGUUUGAUUGAUAACA